rnacentral:rRNA from 3 species
GACGUGCUAAUCUGCGAUAAGCGUCGGUAAGGUGAUAUGAACCGUUAUAACCGGCGAUUUCCGAAUGGGGAAACCCAGUGUGAUUCGUCACACUAUCAUUAACUGAAUCCAUAGGUUAAUGAGGCGAACCGGGGGAACUGAAACAUCUAAGUACCCCGAGGAAAAGAAAUCAACCGAGAUUCCCCCAGUAGCGGCGAGCGAACGGGGAGCAGCCCAGAGCCUGAAUCAGUGUGUGUGUUAGUGGAAGCGUCUGGAAAGGCGUGCGAUACAGGGUGACAGCCCCGUACACAAAAAUGCACAUACUGUGAGCUCGAUGAGUAGGGCGGGACACGUGGUAUCCUGUCUGAAUAUGGGGGGACCAUCCUCCAAGGCUAAAUACUCCUGACUGACCGAUAGUGAACCAGUACCGUGAGGGAAAGGCGAAAAGAACCCCGGCGAGGGGAGUGAAAAAGAACCUGAAACCGUGUACGUACAAGCAGUGGGAGCACGCUUAGGCGUGUGACUGCGUACCUUUUGUAUAAUGGGUCAGCGACUUAUAUUCUGUAGCAAGGUUAACCGAAUAGGGGAGCCGAAGGGAAACCGAGUCUUAACUGGGCGUUAAGUUGCAGGGUAUAGACCCGAAACCCGGUGAUCUAGCCAUGGGCAGGUUGAAGGUUGGGUAACACUAACUGGAGGACCGAACCGACUAAUGUUGAAAAAUUAGCGGAUGACUUGUGGCUGGGGGUGAAAGGCCAAUCAAACCGGGAGAUAGCUGGUUCUCCCCGAAAGCUAUUUAGGUAGCGCCUCGUGAAUUCAUCUCCGGGGGUAGAGCACUGUUUCGGCAAGGGGGUCAUCCCGACUUACCAACCCGAUGCAAACUGCGAAUACCGGAGAAUGUUAUCACGGGAGACACACGGCGGGUGCUAACGUCCGUCGUGAAGAGGGAAACAACCCAGACCGCCAGCUAAGGUCCCAAAGUCAUGGUUAAGUGGGAAACGAUGUGGGAAGGCCCAGACAGCCAGGAUGUUGGCUUAGAAGCAGCCAUCAUUUAAAGAAAGCGUAAUAGCUCACUGGUCGAGUCGGCCUGCGCGGAAGAUGUAACGGGGCUAAACCAUGCACCGAAGCUGCGGCAGCGACGCUUAUGCGUUGUUGGGUAGGGGAGCGUUCUGUAAGCCUGUGAAGGUGUGCUGUGAGGUAUGCUGGAGGUAUCAGAAGUGCGAAUGCUGACAUAAGUAACGAUAAAGCGGGUGAAAAGCCCGCUCGCCGGAAGACCAAGGGUUCCUGUCCAACGUUAAUCGGGGCAGGGUGAGUCGACCCCUAAGGCGAGGCCGAAAGGCGUAGUCGAUGGGAAACAGGUUAAUAUUCCUGUACUUGGUGUUACUGCGAAGGGGGGACGGAGAAGGCUAUGUUGGCCGGGCGACGGUUGUCCCGGUUUAAGCGUGUAGGCUGGUUUUCCAGGCAAAUCCGGAAAAUCAAGGCCGAGGCGUGAUGACGAGGCACUACGGUGCUGAAGCAACAAAUGCCCUGCUUCCAGGAAAAGCCUCUAAGCAUCAGGUAACAUCAAAUCGUACCCCAAACCGACACAGGUGGUCAGGUAGAGAAUACCAAGGCGCUUGAGAGAACUCGGGUGAAGGAACUAGGCAAAAUGGUGCCGUAACUUCGGGAGAAGGCACGCUGAUACGUAGGUGAAGCGACUUGCUCGUGGAGCUGAAAUCAGUCGAAGAUACCAGCUGGCUGCAACUGUUUAUUAAAAACACAGCACUGUGCAAACACGAAAGUGGACGUAUACGGUGUGACGCCUGCCCGGUGCCGGAAGGUUAAUUGAUGGGGUUAGCGCAAGCGAAGCUCUUGAUCGAAGCCCCGGUAAACGGCGGCCGUAACUAUAACGGUCCUAAGGUAGCGAAAUUCCUUGUCGGGUAAGUUCCGACCUGCACGAAUGGCGUAAUGAUGGCCAGGCUGUCUCCACCCGAGACUCAGUGAAAUUGAACUCGCUGUGAAGAUGCAGUGUACCCGCGGCAAGACGGAAAGACCCCGUGAACCUUUACUAUAGCUUGACACUGAACAUUGAGCCUUGAUGUGUAGGAUAGGUGGGAGGCUUUGAAGUGUGGACGCCAGUCUGCAUGGAGCCGACCUUGAAAUACCACCCUUUAAUGUUUGAUGUUCUAACGUGGACCCGUGAUCCGGGUUGCGGACAGUGUCUGGUGGGUAGUUUGACUGGGGCGGUCUCCUCCUAAAGAGUAACGGAGGAGCACGAAGGUUGGCUAAUCCUGGUCGGACAUCAGGAGGUUAGUGCAAUGGCAUAAGCCAGCUUGACUGCGAGCGUGACGGCGCGAGCAGGUGCGAAAGCAGGUCAUAGUGAUCCGGUGGUUCUGAAUGGAAGGGCCAUCGCUCAACGGAUAAAAGGUACUCCGGGGAUAACAGGCUGAUACCGCCCAAGAGUUCAUAUCGACGGCGGUGUUUGGCACCUCGAUGUCGGCUCAUCACAUCCUGGGGCUGAAGUAGGUCCCAAGGGUAUGGCUGUUCGCCAUUUAAAGUGGUACGCGAGCUGGGUUUAGAACGUCGUGAGACAGUUCGGUCCCUAUCUGCCGUGGGCGCUGGAGAACUGAGGGGGGCUGCUCCUAGUACGAGAGGACCGGAGUGGACGCAUCACUGGUGUUCGGGUUGUCAUGCCAAUGGCACUGCCCGGUAGCUAAAUGCGGAAGAGAUAAGUGCUGAAAGCAUCUAAGCACGAAACUUGCCCCGAGAUGAGUUCUCCCUGACCCUUUAAGGGUCCUGAAGGAACGUUGAAGACGACGACGUUGAUAGGCCGGGUGUGUAAGCGCAGCGAUGCGUUGAGCUAACCGGUACUAAUGAACCGUGAGGCUUAACCUUACAACGCCGAAG